GACGGGGGAUGCAAGUGUUAUCCGGAAUCACUGGGCGUAAAGCGUCUGCAGGUGGUUUCCUAAGUCCACUGUUAAACCUUGAGGCUCAACCUCAAAUCUGCAUUGGAAACUAGGAGACUUGAGUAUAGUAGGGGUAGAGGGAAUUUCCAGUGGAGCGGUGAAAUGCGUAGAUAUUGGAAAGAACACCGAUGGCGAAAACAGGUAGCUGGGGCUGUGCUGACACUGAGACACGAAAGCCAGGGGAGCAAACGGG
rnacentral:rRNA from 1 species